rnacentral:rRNA from 1 species
CAUCGACAUUUUGAACGCAUAUUGCGCCCGCGGUUUAAUUAUUACUAUUGCCGUGGGCACUCCAGAUCGAGGGUCGUAUGAACCAGAUUUUGAAUCCAUCUGAUGAUUUGAUUAUCUAUCAGCUUUGAGCUGUCGUGUUCACUUCGGUGCGCGUCGCUUUAAAUUUACCAAGUUAUUUGGGGCAUGGGCCUAGGCAACCAUUAAGUGUCCAAUGAACGAGAAAGGCAAGGUAACUACUUCACAGUCUGAAACUAACGUAACCUAGUAGUUUUGCUCUANAGAUAACCGACAUAGGUGCGUGUCAUGGCCCCAAAGACCAAUUUGUGCUGGCAUUUUGGCUGGGAGCUGAAUGGUUACAGAGACUGAGUUGGUUGCAGGCGUGAGACCGAUUAUUACUCUAUGUCUAGAGCUUGCCCGUGGUUGGUGCAUUGCUAACUCUUUCACGACCUCGUUUCGGGAGAGA